UACAGAGGUCUCAAGCGUUGUUCGGAUUCAUUGGGCGUAAAGGGUGCGUAGGUGGCGCGCUAAGUCAGGUGUGAAAUUUCGGAGCUUAACUCCGAAACUGCAUUUGAUACUGCCGUGCUUGAGGACUGGAGAGGAGACUGGAAUUUACGGUGUAGCGGUGAAAUGCGUAGAUAUCGUAAGGAAGACCAGUGGCGAAGGCGGGUCUCUGGACAGUUCCUGACGCUGAGGCACGAAGGCCAGGGGAGCAAACGGG
rnacentral:rRNA from 1 species